rnacentral:rRNA from 1 species
CCCUUAGACGCUCUAGGCGGCACGCGCGCUACAAUGGGUGGUAGAACGUGUAACUGCUCCCGAAAGGGAGGGUGAACCACGAAUACUUACCCGUGAAUGGGAUAGUUUGUUGCAAUUUUCGGACCUGAACUAGGAAUCCCUUGUAAGAAUGCUCAAGAAUAGCGUGCUGAAUACGUCCCUGCCGUUUGUACACACCGCCCGUCGUUUCUUCCGACUGAUACUCAUUGUGAGUUGCAAGGAUUCUUAUUGAAAAAUUGCUGCGAAUGCUUUGUAUUGGAGGAAGAAAAAGUCGUAACA